CCUACGGGUGGCAGCAGUGAGGAAUAUUGGUCAAUGGGCGGAAGCCUGAACCAGCCAAGUAGCGUGCAGGAUGACGGCCCUACGGGUUGUAAACUGCUUUUAUACGGGAAUAACGCGCCUUACGUGUAGGGCUUUGCAUGUACCGUAUGAAUAAGGACCGGCUAAUUCCGUGCCAGCAGCCGCGGUAAUACGGAGGGUCCGGGCGUUAUCCGGAGUUAUUGGGUUUAAAGGGAGCGUAGGCCGCAUGUCAAGCGUGCUGUGAAAUGUCCGGGCUCAACCCGGGCAUUGCAGUGCGCACUGGCGGGCUUGAGUCCACGGGAGGCAGGCGGAAUUCGUCGUGUAGCGGUGAAAUGCUUAGAUAUGACGAAGAACCCCGAUUGCGAAGGCAGCUUGCUGCAGCGGAACUGACGCUGAUGCUCGAAAGCGCGGGUAUCGAACAGGAUUAGAUACCCCUGUAGUC
rnacentral:rRNA from 1 species